GGGCGGAUAGCUCAGUUGGCUAGAGCAUCUCGUUUACACCGAGGGGGUCGGGGGUUCGAGUCCCUCUCCGCCCACCA
rnacentral:tRNA from 1 species